rnacentral:rRNA from 1 species
UACGUAGGGAGCGAGCGUUGUCCGGAUUCAUUGGGCGUAAAGCGCUUUAAGGCGGUUCGCUAAGUCGCGUGUGAAACCUCCAGGCUCAACCUGGAGACGCCACGCGAUACUGGCGUGACUAGAGUUCGGUAGGGGAUCACGGAAUUCCUGGUGUAGCGGUGAAAUGCGCAGAUAUCAGGAGGAACACCGGUGGCGAAGGCGGUGAUCUGGGCCGACACUGACGCUGGAGGCGCGAAAGCUAGGGGAGCAAACGGG